UACGUAGGUGGCGAGCGUUGUCCGGAAUUACUGGGUGUAAAGCGCGUGUAGGCGGCAGGCCAAGUCGGUGGUGAAAGCGCCCGGCUCAACUGGGCGAGGUCCAUGGAAACUGGUCAGCUGGAGGACGGUAGAGGCGAGUGGAAUUCCCGGUGUAGUGGUGAAAUGCGUAGAGAUCGGGAGGAACACCUGUGGCGAAGGUGGCUCGCUGGGCCGGUCCUGACGCUGAAACGCGAAGGCGUGGGGAGCGAACGGG
rnacentral:rRNA from 1 species